rnacentral:rRNA from 1 species
CGGCGGACGGGUGAGUAACGCGUGGGUAACCUACCCUGUACACACGGAUAACAUACCGAAAGGUAUGCUAAUACGGGAUAAUAUAUUUGAGAGGCAUCUCUUGAAUAUCAAAGGUGAGCCAGUACAGGAUGGACCCGCGUCUGAUUAACUAGUUGGUAAGGUAACGGCUUACCAAGGCGACGAUCAGUAGCCGACCUGAGAGGGUGAUCGGCCACAUUGGAACUGAGACACGGUCCAA